GGAUCAUUAUUGAAUAAACCUGAUGGGUUGCUGCUGGCUCUCUAGAGAGCAUGUGCACGCUUGUCAUCUUUAUAUAUCUCCACCUGUGCACCUUUUGUAGACCUGGAUAUUUUUCUGAAUGCUCCUGGCAUUCAGGUUUGAGGACUGACUUAUGCUGUCUUUUCCUUACAUUUCCUGGUCUAUGUUUCUUCAUAUACCAGUCAUAGAAUGUAACAAAUGGGUGUUUUGUGCCUAUAAACCUAUACAACUUUCAGCAACGGAUCUCUUGGCUCUCGCAUCGAUGAAGAACGCAGCGAAAUGCGAUAAGUAAUGUGAAUUGCAGAAUUCAGUGAAUCAUCGAAUCUUUGAACGCACCUUGCGCUCCUUGGUAUUCCGAGGAGCAUGCCUGUUUGAGUGUCAUUAAUAUAUAUCAACCUUGUGUUGGAUGUGGGGGUUUUGUUGGCCUUUGAGAGGUCAGCUCCCCUGAAAUGCAUUAGCGGAACUAACUUGCCGUUCAUUGGUGUGAUAAAACUAUCUACGUGAAAGGCAGGGUUCAGCUUCUAACAAGUCUAUCAUUAAUGUGACCUCAAAUCAGGUAG
rnacentral:rRNA from 1 species